GCUGUCCUAGAUCGUGUCUCAGCUGUGCCUGAGACACUGGGACAAAGAGCAAGUGGCUCUUUCUACGCUUAGCGUUCAGAAGCCAGUGAACAGUAAGAAUGGUUUGUAGCCUGACACUU